rnacentral:rRNA from 1 species
UACAGAGGUCUCAAGCGUUGUUCGGAUUCAUUGGGCGUAAAGGGUGCGUAGGCGGUUCGGUAAGUCGGGUGUGAAAACUUUGGGCUCAACCCAAAGCGUGCACUCGAUACUGCCAUGACUAGAGUUCGGUAGGGGAGUGGGGAAUUCCUAGUGUGAGCGGUGAAAUGCGCAGAUAUCAGGAAGAACACCCGUGGCUAAGGCGGCUCUCUAGUACGGUACUGACGCUGAGACGCGAAAGCGUGGGGAGCGAACAGG